UAGGGAAUUGUUCGCAAUGGGCGCAAGCCUGACGACGCAACGCCGCGUGGAGGAUGAAGACCUUCGGGUCGUAAACUCCUUUCGACCGAGAUGAAUACGUGCCGACCUAAUACGUCGGCGCGCUGACAGUAUCGAGGGAAGCAGCCCCGGCUAACUCCGUGCCAGCAGCCGCGGUAAUACGGGGGGGGCAAGCGUUGUUCGGAAUUACUGGGCGUAAAGGGUUCGUAGGUGGCCAACUAAGUCAGACGUGAAAUCCCUCGGCUCAACCGGGGAACUGCGUCUGAUACUGGUUGGCUUGAGUGCAGGAGAGGAACGCGGAAUUCCAGGUGUAGCGGUGAAAUGCGUAGAUAUCUGGAGGAACACCGGUGGCGAAGGCGGCGUUCUGGACUGCAACUGACACUGAGGAACGAAAGCCAGGGGAGCAAACGGG
rnacentral:rRNA from 1 species